AGGACGAACGCUGGCGGCGUGCCUAAUACAUGCAAGUCGAACGGUCUUUCUAUGGAAGCUUGCUUCCACUGAGAAGAUAGUGGCGGACGGGUGAGUAACACGUGGGUAACCUGCCCAUAAGAGGGGGGAUAACAUCCGGAAACGGGUGCUAAUACCGCAUAGUUUUCUUGAUCGCAUGAUCGAGAAAGGAAAGACGGCCUUUGUGCUGUCGCUUAUGGAUGGACCCGCGGCGUAUUAGUUAGUUGGUGAGGUAACGGCUCACCAAGACGAUGAUACGUAGCCGACCUGAGAGGGUAAUCGGCCACAUUGGGACUGAGACACGGCCCAAACUCCUACGGGAGGCAGCAGUAGGGAAUCUUCCGCAAUGGACGAAAGUCUGACGGAGCAACGCCGCGUGAGUGAAAGAAGGUUUUCGGAUCGUAAAACUCUGUUGUCAGAGAAGAACGAGUCGGAGAGUAACUGCUCCGGCCUUGACGGUAUCUGACCAGAAAGCCACGGCUAACUACGUGCCAGCCGCCGC
rnacentral:rRNA from 1 species